rnacentral:rRNA from 1 species
AUUGAACGCUGGCGGCAGGCCUAACACAUGCAAGUCGAACGAGUGGCGGACGGGUGAGUAAUGUCUGGGAAACUGCCUGAUGGAGGGGGAUAACUACUGGAAAAGGUAGCUAAUACCGCAUACCAUCAGAUGUGCCCAGAUGGGAUUGGCUUGUUGGUGGGGUAACGGCGCACCAAGGCGACGAUCCAUAGCUGGUCUGAGAGGAUGGAAAGCCACACUGGAACUGAGAGAAGGGCCAGACUCCUACGGGAGGAAGCAGUGGGGAAUAGUGCACAAUGGGCGCAGGCCUGAUGCAGCCAGGCCGAGUGUAUGAAGAAGGCCUGCGGGUUGUAAAGUACUUUCAGCGGGGAGGCGUUACCCGCAGAAGAAGCACCGGCUAACUCCGUGCCAGCAGCCGCGGUAAUUC